AUGCUAACAGAGCACCCAACAGAGAGCUAGUAUUCUAGGAGAGCACCCAGCAGAGAGGUAGUAUGCUAACAGAGCACCCAACAGAGAGGUAGUAUGCUAACAGAGCACCCACAGAGAACUAGCAUGCUAACAGAGCACCACAGAGAACUAGCAUGCUAACAGAGCACCCAACAGACAGCUAGUAUGCUAACAGAGCACCCAACAGAGAACUAGCAUACUAACAGAGCACCACAGAGAACUAGCAUGCUAACAGAGCACCCAACAGACAGCUAGUAUGCUAACAGAGCACCCAACAGAGAGGUAGUAUGCUAACAGAGCACCCAACAGAGAGCUAGUAUUCUAGGAGAGCACCCAGCAGAGAGCUAGUAUGCUAACAGAGCACCCACAGAGAACUAGCAUGCUAACAGAGCACCACAGAGAACUAGCAUGCUAACAGAGCACCCAACAGACA